AUGACGAUCCUAUGUUGGAACUGUCGGGGAUUGGGCCACCCUGGGACAAUUCGCGAGCUUGUGUGCCUAGUUCGCACGUAUCGCCCCUCUGUCGUGUUCGUCUCUGAGACGCGGUAGUGUGAGGAGAGCGUCAAAAGAAUAAGAUGGAGGCUUGGCCUCAAAAACUGCAUCACCCAUGAUGGCAUGGGAAAAGGUGCUGGUAUUGCCCUGUUUUGGGAUGAAAGUGUUGAAAUAAAUUUGCUCUCCUAUGGUUUGAGGUAUAUUGAUGUGCAUAUCCAUUUGAAUCCCCAUGGCCCGAUGUGGCGGGUUACCUUUGUGUAUGGCUAACCUAAAGCACAUGAGAGGCAUAACAUGUGGAACUUGUUGAAAAGAAUAAAACCAAAAUCGUCCGAACCUUGGAUGAUGAUAGGAGACUUCAACGAAACACUAUGGAAAAGUGAACAUUUUUCUACAGUGAAAAGAUCGGAAAGGUAUAUGAGCCACUUCAGAGAACUACUGUCAUGGUGUAAUCUUUAUGAUCUGGGUUACCAUGGACCUGAAUGGACAUACGAUAACAAGCAACAAGGACGAAAAAACGUCCGAGCUAGAUUGGAUAGGGGAGUGGCCUCUCCUGAAUGGUCUGAGUUGUUUCGAAAUGCAAGUGUGCUCCACGUCAUUACAUCUCGGUCUGAUCAUUUUGAAGGAAAUAUGCCCUAG
rnacentral:rRNA from 1 species